GACAGAGGGUGCAAACGUUGCUCGGAAUUACUGGGCGUAAAGCGCGUGUAGGCGGCUCGUUAAGUACCUUGUGAAAUCCCACGGCUCAACCGUGGAACUGCUGGGUAUACUGGCGAUCUUGAGCCACCUAGGGGCGAGCGGAACAAGCGGUGGAGCGGUGAAAUGCGUAGAUAUCGCUUGGAACGCCAAUGGUGAAAACAGCUCGCUGGGGGUGUGCUGACGCUGAGACACGAAAGCCAGGGGAGCGAACGGG
rnacentral:rRNA from 1 species